CAUGACCUUCGGGGUGAGGUGACGGGACAGGUGUGAAAGUCCUCAUGUUUUCCAAGCCUCAAGCUCUCAAUGUGUCUCUCUUUGCAGCUGAGACCUUACUCAUCUUCCUGCACCAAGACUCUACACCCCCUUUGUUUGCAUUUGUUAAGAUGAAGGUGUCCCAGACCUGGCACGAUGGUUCACGCCUGUAAUCCUUUGGGAUUACAGUAGUUCACUUUGGGAGGCUGAGACUCAGGUCCCCAGGUCUCUGCAGCCUCGGGUGC
rnacentral:lncRNA from 10 species